rnacentral:rRNA from 1 species
GACGAACGCUGGCGGCGUGCCUAAUACAUGCAAGUCGAACGCUGAAGGAGGAGCUUGCUUCUCUGGAUGAGUUGCGAACGGGUGAGUAACGCGUAGGUAACCUGCCUGGUAGCGGGGGAUAACUAUUGGAAACGAUAGCUAAUACCGCAUAAGAGUAGAUGUUGCAUGACAUUUGCUUAAAAGGUGCAAUUGCAUCACUACCAGAUGGACCUGCGUUGUAUUAGCUAGUUGGUGGGGUAACGGCUCACCAAGGCGACGAUACAUAGCCGACCUGAGAGGGUGAUCGGCCACACUGGGACUGAGACACGGCCCAGACUCCUACGGGAGGCAGCAGUAGGGAAUCUUCGGCAAUGGACGGAAGUCUGACCGAGCAACGCCGCGUGAGUGAAGAAGGUUUUCGGAUCGUAAAGCUCGGUUGUAAGAGAAGAACGAGUGUGAGAGUGGAAAGUUCACACUGUGACGGUAGCUUACCAGAAAGGGACGGCUAACUACGUG